UACAGAGGUCUCAAGCGUUGUUCGGAUUCAUUGGGCGUAAAGGGUGCGUAGGCGGCGCGGUAAGUCGGGUGUGAAAUCUCGGAGCUUAACUCCGAAACUGCAUUCGAUACUGCCGUGCUUGAGGACUGGAGAGGAGACUGGAAUUUACGGUGUAGCGGUGAAAUGCGUAGAUAUCGUAAGGAAGACCAGUGGCGAAGGCGGGUCUCUGGACAGUUCCUGGCGCUGAGGCACGAAGGUCAGGGGAGCAAACGGG
rnacentral:rRNA from 1 species